rnacentral:rRNA from 1 species
AGGCCUUAUGGGCGCGGGGCGACCCGCGUCUUCAUAAGCCCCUUCGUGUAGAAAGUCUAUGAAUGUUUUUACUAUCAUCGAGUCGCGACUUCUAGGAGACGCGGUUCUUUGAGACAAAAGUUUAUUACAACUUUCAGCAAUGGAUCUCUUGGCUCUCGCAUCGAUGAAGAACGCAGCGAAUCGCGAUAUGUAAUGUGAAUUGCAGAUCUACAGUGAAUCAUCGAAUCUUUGAACGCACCUUGCGCUUAUCGGUGUUCCGAUGAGCAUGCCUGUUUGAGCGUCUUUAAAUUCUCAACCCCUCUCGAUUCGUUUCGAGAGGGAGCUUGGAUUGUGGAGGCUGCCGGAGACCUGUUUUUCAGGACUCGGGCUCCUCUGAAAUGUAUUGGCUUGCGGUCGACUUUCGACCAUGCAUGACAAGGCCUUUGGCGUGAUAAUGAUCGCCGCUCGCCGAAGUGCAUGAAUGAAUGGUCUCGUGCCUCUAAUC